UGGCUUUCGUUAUGGCCUCACGGGAAGAAUUGCGAUAAUCAAAUGGACAGUCAUGCUCGUCAGAGUAGCGAUGAGAUGCACAGAAAAGGUUGCCACAUCGACAUUUGAAACAACCCGUUUCUUGAAAGUGCUGCACUGGCUUGGACCCUCCUUUGGCUUUGCCUCAACACUCUCCCCCAACACUGAAGCACAGGAUGGAUGCACAGAAAUGGUUUUAACUCAACUGUGUUGACUUAAACAUCUACAGUGUCAAGAACAACAGUUUGUUCAAUGUUGUUGCUUGUAGAUCCAUUCACAAUAUUUCCAGUAGUUGAUGCAGCAAGCUUUGCUUGCUCCUGUUUCAACUGCAUAUCUUGUGGCACUUGGAACACAUGUUCUUUGUGGCUGCACUUCCAAAGAAACCACAAUUGUUGAUACACAAAUUUGGGCGUUCAGGAGCAGCUUGACAGCCUGUCUCAUCAUGAUCCAUCUUUUACCUCCCCUGAACCUUAUUCGUUAUUGGAAAUGAUUCCCUUGAACCGAUCUCUUAGCCCAAAACAGAUCGCAAUCGCGGAGAGAGAGAGAGAGAGAGAGAGAGA
rnacentral:misc_RNA from 1 species